UACGUAGGGGGCAAGCGUUGUCCGGAAUCAUUGGGCGUAAAGAGCGUGUAGGCGGCCCGGUAAGUCCGCUGUGAAAGUCCAGGGCUCAACCCUGGGAUGCCGGUGGAUACUGUCGGGCUCGAGUCCGGAAGAGGAGUGUGGAAUUCCUGGUGUAGCGGUGGAAUGCGCAGAUAUCGGGAGGAACACCAGCGGCGAAGGCGGCACUCUGGGCUGGAACUGACGCUGAGGAGCGAAAGCGUGGGUAGCAAACAGG
rnacentral:rRNA from 1 species